rnacentral:rRNA from 1 species
AUUGAACGCUGGCGGCAUGCUUUACACAUGCAAGUCGAACGGCAGCGCGGGCUUCGGCCUGGCGGCGGGUGGCGAACGGGUGAGUAAUGCAUCGGAACGUGCCCAGUAGUGGGGGAUAGCCCGGCGAAAGCCGGAUUAAUACCGCAUACGACCUGAGGGUGAAAGCGGGGGACCGAAAAGCCUCGCGCUAUUGGAGCGGCCGAUGUCGGAUUAGCUAGUUGGUGGGGUAAAGGCUUACCAAGGCGACGAUCCGUAGCUGGUCUGAGAGGACGACCAGCCACACUGGGACUGAGACACGGCCCAGACUCCUACGGGAGGCAGCAGUGGGGAAUUUUGGACAAUGGGGGCAACCCUGAUCCAGCCAUGCCGCGUGCGGGAAGAAGGCCUUCGGGUUGUAAACCGCUUUUGUUCGGGAAGAAAUCCUCUGGGCUAAUACCCCGGGGGGAUGACGGUACCGGAAGAAUAAGCACCGGCUAACUACGUG